UACGUAGGGGGCUAGCGUUGUCCGGAAUCAUUGGGCGUAAAGAGCGUGUAGGCGGCCCGGUAAGUCCGCUGUGAAAGUCGGGGGCUCAACCCUCGAAUGCCGGUGGAUACUGUCGGGCUAGAGUGCGGAAGAGGCGAGUGGAAUUCCUGGUGUAGCGGUGAAAUGCGCAGAUAUCAGGAGGAAUACCAAUUGCGAAGGCAGCUCGCUGGGACGUAACUGACGCUGAGACGCGAAAGCGUGGGGAGCAAACAGG
rnacentral:rRNA from 1 species